GACGAACGCUGGCGGCGUGCCUAAUACAUGCAAGUAGGACGCACAGUUUAUACCGUAGCUUGCUACACCAUAGACUGUGAGUUGCGAACGGGUGAGUAACGCGUAGGUAACCUACCUAUUAGAGGGGGAUAACUAUUGGAAACGAUAGCUAAUACCGCAUAACAGUAUGUAACACAUGUUAGAUGCUUGAAAGAUGCAAUUGCAUCGCUAGUAGAUGGACCUGCGUUGUAUUAGCUAGUAGGUAGGGUAAAGGCCUACCUAGGCAACGAUACAUAGCCGACCUGAGAGGGUGAUCGGCCACACUGGGACUGAGACACGGCCCAGACUCCUACGGGAGGCAGCAGUAGGGAAUCUUCGGCAAUGGGGGGAAUCCUGACCGAGCAACGCCGCGUGAGUGAAGAAGGUUUUCGGAUCGUAAAGCUCUGUUGUUAAGGAAGAACGAGUGUGAGAAUGGAAAGUUCAUGCUGUGAC
rnacentral:rRNA from 1 species